rnacentral:pre_miRNA from 1 species
UACCCUGUAGAUAUCCGAAUUUGUAUACAUACUACAAGCUACAAAUUCGUGUCUUUGGGGUACU